CGGCCAGACUCCUACGGGAGGCAGCAGUGAGGAAUAUUGGUCAAUGGGCGCGAGCCUGAACCAGCCAAGUCGCGUGAGGGAUGACGGCCCUACGGGUUGUAAACCUCUUUUGCCGGGGAGCAACGGGCGCCACGUGUGGCGCCACUGAGAGUACCCGGAGAAAAAGCAUCGGCUAACUCCGUGCCAGCAGCCGCGGUAAUACGGAGGAUGCGAGCGUUAUCCGGAUUUAUUGGGUUUAAAGGGUGCGCAGGCGGAAUGUCAAGUCAGCGGUAAAAUUUCGGGGCUCAACCCCGUCGUGCCGUUGAAACUGGCGUUCUUGAGUGAGCGAGAAGUAUGCGGAAUGCGUGGUGUAGCGGUGAAAUGCAUAGAUAUCACGCAGAACUCCGAUUGCGAAGGCAGCAUACCGGCGCUCAACUGACGCUCAUGCACGAAAGUGUGGGUAUCGAACAGGAUUAGAUACCCGCGUAC
rnacentral:rRNA from 1 species